rnacentral:rRNA from 1 species
GCCACUGCUAUUGGGAUCCGACUAAGCCAUGCGAGUCGAGAGGGUUCGGCCCUCGGCAGACUGCUCAGUAACACGUGGAUAAUCUACCCUUAGGUGGAGGAUACUCUCGGGAAACUGAGAAUAAUACUCCAUAUAUCUAGGAUGCUGGAAUGCACCUAGAUUGAAAGUUCCGGCGCCUAAGGAUGAGUCUGCGGACUAUCAGGUAGUAGUCAGGGUAAAGACCUGACUAGCCUACGACGGAUACGGGUUGUGAGAGCAAUAGCCCGGAGACGAUAUCUGAGACACGAUAUCGGGCCCUACGGGGCGCAGCAGGCGCGAAAUCUUCACAAUGUGCGAAAGCACGAUGAGGGGAUCCCAAGUGUUGGUUCGUAAGAAUCAUCUGUUUCUUUGUCUAAAAAACAGAGAGAGUAAGAGCUGGGUAAGACGGGUGCCAGCCGCCGCGGUAAUACCUGCAGCUCAAGUGGUGGCCGCUAUUAUUGGGCCUAAAACGUCCGUAGCCGGUUUAGUAAAUGCUUGGGUAAAUUGUGUAGCUUAACUAUACGAAUACCGAGUAGACUGCUGAACUUGGGACCGGGAGAGGCUAGAGGUACUCCUAGGGUAGAGGUGAAAUUCUGUAAUCCUAGGGGGACCACCAGUGGCGAAGGCGUCUAGCCAGAACGGGUCUGACGGUGAGGGACGAAGCCCUGGGGCGCAAACCGGAUUAGAUACCCGGGUAGCCCUGGGUGUAAACGCUGCUCGCUUGAUGUUAGUUGGGCUCCGAGCCCAACUAGUGUCGGAGAGAAGUUGUUAAGCGAGCUGCCUGGGAAGUACGGUCGCAAGGCUGAAACUUAAAGGAAUUGGCGGGGGAGCACAGCAACGGGUGGAGCGUGCGGUUUAAUUGGAUUCAACGCCGGG